GACGAACGCUGGCGGCGUGCUUAACACAUGCAAGUCGAACGAAGAGCGAUGGAAGCUUGCUUCUAUCAAUCUUAGUGGCGAACGGGUGAGUAACGCGUAAUCAACCUGCCCUUCAGAGGGGGACAACAGUUGGAAACGACUGCUAAUACCGCAUACGAUCUAAUCUCGGCAUCGAGGAUAGAUGAAAGGUGGCCUCUACAUGUAAGCUAUCACUGAAGGAGGGGAUUGCGUCUGAUUAGCUAGUUGGAGGGGUAACGGCCCACCAAGGCGAUGAUCGGUAGCCGGUCUGAGAGGGUGAACGGCCACAUUGGGACUGAGACACGGCCCAGACUCCUACGGGAGGCAGCAGUGGGGAAUCUUCCGCAAUAGACGAAAGUCUGACGGAGCAACGCCGCGUGAGUGAUGACGGCCUUUGGGUUGCAAAGCUCUGUUAAUCGGGACGAAAGGCCUUCUUGCGAAUAGUGAGAAGGAUUGACGGUACCGGAAUAGAAAGCCACGGCUAACUACGUG
rnacentral:rRNA from 1 species